GGCCGGCAGUCGGUACCCGCCCCACGGCCGCCUCCGCCCGCCGCCUGCCCUUCUCGCCUCACGGAAUCCCAGGAUCACGGGAUAGGUCGGGCUGGGAGGGAACACAUCUGGUCCAAGCUCCCUGCUCAAGCAGGGUCAUCCCAGAGCACACGGCACAGGUUUUCUUCCAGCCGGUUCUUGAGUAUCUCUAGUGAGGGAGACUCCAAAACUUCUGAGCAAUCCGUUCCAGUGCUCAGUCACUGCACUGUAAAGAAGUUCUUUCUCAUGUUCAGGUGGGAGUUAAGUGCAUCAGUUUCUGCCUGCUGCCUCUUGUCCUAUUGCUCAGCAGCACUGAGAAGAGCCCAGCUCCAUCCUCUUGACACCCUCCCUUCACAUCCUGAUGGACAUUGAUGAGGUCACCUCUCAGACAUCUCUUCUUGAGGCUGAACAGACCCAGCUCCUUCUUUCCUCAUAAGAGCAAUCCCCCAGUGUCUCAGUCAUCCUCACUGUCCUCUGCUGGACCUGCUGCAGAAACUCCACAUCUCUUUUGUACUGAGGAGCCCCAAACUGGACACAGCACUCCAGAUGGGGCUUCACCAGAGCUGAGCAGAGGGGCAGGAUCACCUCCCCUGACCUGCUGGCAAUGCUCUUCCUAAUGCACCCCAGGAUUUUUUGGCUGCCUUGGCCACAAGGACACUGCUGGCUCAUGGACAGCUUGUUGAACAGCAGCACCACCAGCUUGUUGUCCACCAGUCUCCCCCAGUGCAAAGUGAUGUCUGGGACUGGGGACAUCUCCAGUGCAGCUGGCAAAGCUGGGUGUCCCCCUCACUGAAAUGCCCUUGUCAGCACUGCCAGUGGACAGUGAGGGCUUCCUGGAAGCCUCCAACAUCCUAUGCAGGUGGAAAGCAAAUAAAUCGGUAAAUUAUAUGAACGCAGCAUCUAUGGCUUUAAGACAAGUGUUACUAAGUAGCAGAAGCUAUAAAUUCUGUUACUCAGCUUCCAGGGAGCGACCCAAACUGAGGCGUGGCUUGCUCACUCAAGUGGGGUGCCCAGUCUACCUCUCAAAAACAAGCCACCCCCACCAAACCCUGCAAACAAUCAUCCUCCACAACUCCUUUUCAGCACAUGCAGGCUCAGCGUCUUACGAGGUCUUUCUGAAAACCUGUUGUACCACUGCUGUAGCCAUGGGCUUGCCUCUGUAAUUACAGCUGGGCCCAAACCAAGCAGACGUGUCUGACUGUGCGGGCAGCCACGGGGCACCUGAGCAUGCUGAGGUUUACAAACACACCUUCCUUCACUUGCUGGCAGCUUCUGCAUGGACAUAAGCAUCGUGCACAAGCUGAGUACUAUUUCUACCUCGCACCUCCUAUCAGCCUUCAUGGCCGAGAUAAGGACCCACCCAGCAGGACCCUAACCUAGCAAAUCCUUCUGAGGAAAUCUCUGCUCUGGAGAAUUUACACUUCCAAAUCUAGACAAUGCAUGGGAGGGGAAUAAAUAGGUGGGAAAGGCAGAGCAAGUCACAACUGCCUGCAGUACUAGCUGAAGGCACCUUAAAAUGUUGCCUUUGCCAAACACUGCUAAGUUACAGAAAAGCUGUGCACUGAAAAAGGCACUAAUGAAACACUCAUUUGAAGACUGCUUCUCGAUGCACCAGAACUCACCCAUGGCAGCCAGGCUGGUUUAAAAGAAAAGGACCUCCAGUAGAGGAUGCUCCAGAGGACUCAGCAUCCAGUAAUUCUUGUUAUCCUGGCUGAAUGCUGCUUGAACAUGAUCAUCUUCAGGGCCUGUUGCAUUUGCAACUAGAAAUGGAUGAAAUCAAGAGGAUAACAUCCACAAUUCAAAAUUCCACCUGGGAAUAGGCAUCUAAAACCAAGAAACUGGAUGAACAUCUCUAUUUUGGCUGCUACGACUUUGACCAGUAAGACACUUGC